rnacentral:rRNA from 1 species
CCUACGGGCGGCAGCAGUGGGGAAUAUUGCACAAUGGGGGAAACCCUGAUGCAGCGACGCCGCGUGAGUGAAGAAGUAUUUCGGUACGUAAAGCUCUAUCAGCAGGGAAGAAAAAAAGUCCUUUGGACUUUGGACGGUACCUGACUAAGAAGCCCCGGCUAACUACGUGCCAGCAGCCGCGGUAAUACGUAGGGGGCAAGCGUUAUCCGGAUUUACUGGGUGUAAAGGGAGCGUAGCCGGCACCGCAAGUCUGGAGUGAAAUGCCGGGGCCCAACCCCGGAACUGCAUUGGAAACUGUGCAGCUGGAGUGCUGGAGAGGCAAGCGGAAUUCCGAGUGUAGCGGUGAAAUGCGUAGAUAUUAGGAGGAACACCAGUGGCGAAGGCGGCCUACUGGACUGUAACUGACGUUGAGGCUCGAAAGCGUGGGGAGCAAACAGGAUUAGAUACCCUAGUAGUC